UGCCAAGUCGCUGACACUGACAAGGCACUGACAAGCCUUUACCGUUCAAUAUAUUGACUGAUAGUCUGUACCCAUCGGCCUACAUUGGAAUACUCACGCGUGACUGGCAGUUAUUGGUGAUUGAAAUUCGCGGAGCAAGAAAAUGGUAAUUAGAGUCUUAAAACACCGAGCACGUCAAUAAACGAACCAUACUUCCGUUGAAGUGCAAUAAAUAAACUGCAGCGUUCGAAGCGUGCUUUGUAGCAGCAAAGGGCCUUCUUUGUUCAAGCACGAGCGCGCUGAUAUGGCGAUAGUUGUGCGUGGUUUUAAACUUACCUGAGAGUGAAGUUUCCAAUCUUUG